GAUGAAGAACGCAGCGAAAUGCGAUAAGUAGUGUGAAUUGCAGAAUUCAGUGAAUCAUCGAAUCUUUGAACGCACAUUGCGCCCCUUGGUAUUCCAUGGGGCAUGCCUGUUCGAGCGUCAUUUCAACCAUCAAGCCCCCGGGCUUGUGUUGGGGACCUGCGGCUGCCGCAGGCCCUGAAAAGCAGUGGCGGGCUCGCUGUCACACCGAGCGUAGUAGAUUUUAUCUCGCUCUGGGCGUGCUGCGGGUUCCGGCCGUUAAACCACCCUUUUAACCCAAGGUUGACCUCGGAUCAGGUAGGAAGACCCGCUGAACUUAAGCAUAUCAAUAAGCGGAGGA
rnacentral:misc_RNA from 1 species